rnacentral:rRNA from 1 species
GUGGGGAAUCUUGCGCAAUGGGCGAAAGCCUGACGCAGCCAUGCCGCGUGAAUGAUGAAGGUCUUAGGAUUGUAAAAUUCUUUCACCGGGGACGAUAAUGACGGUACCCGGAGAAGAAGCUCCGGCUAACUUCGUGCCAGCAGCCGCGGUAAUACGAAGGGGGCUAGCGUUGCUCGGAAUUACUGGGCGUAAAGGGCGCGUAGGCGGACAGCUUAGUCAGAGGUGAAAGCCCAGGGCUCAACCUUGGAAUUGCCUUUGAUACUGGCUGUCUUGAGUGUGGGAGAGGUGAGUGGAACUCCGAGUGUAGAGGUGAAAUUCGUAGAUAUUCGGAGGAACACCAGUGGCGAAGGCGGCUUACUGGUCCAUUACUGACGCUGAGGUGCGAAAGCGUGGGGAGCAAACAGGAUUAGAUACCCUAGUAGUCC